AAUAUAAUCAAAUGAUAGGAUACUUACCAAAUGACAUGAUGUGGAGGUUAGAAUCAAAUCAUUGUAUAAUAUCGAUCAAUUAGAUGUUAGGCGCUUGUGGUAUAAAACCCGUUUUGGGAUACUAAUUAUUGACCAGAAAGAAGCACAUAUAAUUAAAUAUUGGAACAUGACAAUAUUCAAUAUAUAGUUUUCUACAUUUGCAAUAUUGGCAUGCUGAAUUUAUUAGAUGUUGGAUAUCAGUUCAAGAAAUUGUGCAUCACUCUAGUCCUUGAAAACUAUAACAUUCAGUUUCUUCACUGCAAACAGAUACAAGGAUCAUUCCAAAGAUUUUAAGCAUGUGAAGCACCAAUAAAAAAAAACCCAUUAUCUUGAGAAUGAGAGAGAUAAACGACACUUACAAGGUAAAACUAAAACUAAAAUUGAUUUCAGACUUCAUAGAAAUGAGCAAACAAAAACACACAAAUUUGACACUCACAUUUUUN
rnacentral:lncRNA from 1 species